CUGCAUGCAGUUUAGAUGCUGUUCCUGUCUUCUUUGAGUGAAUGAUCACACUUCAAAAAUGCUUAACUGGCUGUGAAGCCAUUGAGGAUGUCAUCACAAAUGGUGCAAUUUAAGUGAAGGCUUCUGUUUAUAAUGCAAGUUGGAGACAAUUACUCAUAGAUUUAUAAUUCACGGAGUACAGGACUGUAUGUUCCAGUAAGAACAAGGACAAGAAUGACAAGAUGGGAGAUGCUGAAGACACAGAAAUCCAGUGUGAAUGUUAUUUUGAUGGUUAAAGGUAAAGCGGUUGCAGUCCUUCUGUUCAGCUGUAAGUGACAGAUCGCCACGAGGAGAACGUUGGAAAGCAGAAUCUCUGCAGCCACUGCACUUCCGUCAGGCUAAUGUAGGAGAAGUGCUUCAGGAAAACCUGUUGUGGAUAUCUCAGGAUACCAACCCGGGUAAGCCUGGCUGCUGAGCGAGGAGACGUCACAGAAGGCAGCUAAUUCACCCGUAGACACUUGAUCAGACAUUGGCAUUUUGCUUGCAAUAGCAGGUAGUUUAGACAUAUUGCACAUGGUGAAUCAUCAGACAUGAGUACCCACAGUAAGGUGCCAGCUUCUCAGAGGACAAAGGUUCACAAAUGUUUUACUCCAGAGGAUUCUUUGAGGACUCAGAUGGGUGAUCGACGAAGGCUGAUGGGAAUGUACGUCACCAUGCUUGAGUAUUGAUUGCUCUGUGUGAAAGCCUGCAUGAAUUUUCCAGUCCAGCUCCAACCUUUGCCGAGACUUUAUGUGGAGCCUGGAGACUAUCCUUUCCAACUUGAUGCCAACACUCGCUUUGGAUCUCUGUAUUCAAAGAGGCAUGUUUCCUGGAUCUCACUGACUAUCUGCAUCCAUAGGUACUUCUCCUGGUUAAAACUCCCCUCACUGUACUUACUGACAUUCAGGUGGGAUUCAUUUCUGAGAUUUUCAAAUGUUGGUCUUAGAAAAAGCUCAGUGACUGAACUUCCAAGGCUGUUGUCUAUCAUUCUCCCUGCCCAUCAUUCUCCUAUGGGUGUUAGCGUUGACCUGACAUCCAUGCCAGCAAUUUAACAAACCAUUCAGUUUUCCUCAACAUUUCGUGCUCUGUUGAAUCCUGUCGACUAUCCUUUGAAAUGUUUUUGUUUAACAACUAUGUGAAUAGGACAUUUCCUGAGCUUUUAAGUAGCUCUUUCUUCAUAAGAUAUACACAAAAAUUGCAUCUAGUCUUGUCGUACAAUGUUCAGGUAGAGCAUAAGUUUCAACUUCUCAUGAUAAAGUUUAUUCAAAUUCUUCUAUCCCAUUAAUA